GGGAAAGCUGAGGAUUCCUUUCCUUUCCUGAGGUGUUUCCAGUUUUUUGAAGCAUGGGAUGUUAGGGGGCCGCACAUGAGAUUGCAUGUUUGAUUAUAAAAUAAAAUUUUUAGUAAGCUCGUCUUUUGAUGGAAAUCAGAAUAUAGGUGAUUGAUUUCUUUAGCUCUUUCUCAUUCUGUUAUAAGGUUCUGUGUCACCUUGGAGCAAAGACAGUCCCUUAUUCCUUUUUAAAACGUUCAUUUUGUUUGCAUCUUUUUCCUCCUUUCAUCUUCUUUGCAAUCUGAAUUGUUCAUUUCAUUUGAUAUUUGUUGAUUACCUGUCUACUCUGCCUACAGUAUAGAGCCCAUAAAAAUGGGAGUCUUGACUACUUCAUUGACUCUAGAUUUCCCAGCAUCUAGAAGAACACUUGGCACACAGUAGGUGCUGAGUAAAUCUUUGUUGAACAAAUUAAUGGUUGUGCCCAAACAUCAUGUUCCCCUAAUGCCUGACUCAGCAUUGCAACUGAGUGCCAGUUGGGCAUGCCAAAAUUUGUGGCUCGUGUGGGUGCUUGUGCACGCAAACACACACACAUACCAUGUGUACAUGGUUCAAUCUUUGCACCUCCUCACCCUCUCUGAUAACAGCUGGCCUGCCAUUCUGUACAGCAGCAACAUGGUAGAGAGUUAUUUCUGCAAGUUGCUCCAGGCAUUUGCCUACCUUCAGCAGUGGUGGAGAUUGCCUUUCAAAUGUUACCUUGAUUCCCUGAAGACAUUGACCUUCAACUCCCUGAAUUUUAGCAGAAUCUUUAUGGGUUCCAGGAGCAUUGUCAGUACUAAGAGUGAAAUUCCAGAGACCAGACAUCACUGGGUGAUUGCAGCGACUUCUCACUCAGCAGGUCUUGGCAGUGCCUUUGGCCUUGGCAGUCCUAAGAGGACCAAGGGCGUGUGGUGAUAUAGUUUAGGCUGUAAAAAUGGUAGCUUGGGAGGGAAAGGGGAAUGGGACUGGCAAGUUCCAACACAAGAUAGAUAUAUUCCUUGGUAAUAGAUUUGGAAAUAACCUGAUGAUUACUCUAUGUUGUAACUCAAAUCAGCCAACCUCUUCUCUUCCCCCCGCCCGCCGUUGCACUUUCAUACACAUAUUCUCAAUCAGAUGAUGGUGCAAAGUACUGCAUUAUGUGAGCUUUCAAGUGACCAGAAUGUGAUAGCCAAGGGAUCAUCUUCAAAUUAAUUAUUCAUGGAAAUUCUUGCCAAUUGGGAAUAAGAAGAAAUUACAAUCGAUGAUUAUGAUAUUAUGUGCCCACUGUGCGCCUGAUCCUGCUAGUCACCUUGAAGUUUGGUGUGCAGCCAGUGACAUAUGAGACAAUAUACAGAGAUUAAGACAAAGGGAUUCUGAAAUGCUCUCCACUGGGAUGAAAUGGAUGUGCCUCUUGGAGUUUCUCAUGUGAACCCUUAGCUGAAAUAAAGUCAUUUUAUUUCUGAGGAGCUGAUUGCUUUGUGGUUUUCUGUAGCCCAAGGGUAUUAGUGUGAAUUCCAGUGGGAUUCACCCAGGAUUCUCUUGUACCCAAGUGGUGUCGGAAAUAAUAUGUUUAGCCAGUGCACUUCUGAAUGGAGGAUGUCCAUUCUCCACUUUAAGUUCCCAAAUCUGUUUGUCAACUGUGGCACUUAAGAAAGUGGGGAUGGAGCAGGGGGGAGAAUAUCUAAAUCACUGAGUCACAAGUAAUGUGCUUCCAUAUCCUCCUCUCAGGAAUCUAGCCAGGCGACACCUAGAAUAGUGAUCUACAUUCAAUAUUGAUGUUCUUUGGUCCCUCCUGUCCUAAUUUCAAGGGGCUGUGGAGACUCUCUGUACUGGCAGCUUUUCUUGUGGAAGUACCAUUUUUAUUGAGUAAGAAACUGAGUUCUGUGAACUCAAAGUGUCUUUUUCCAAGCAGCAAGUCAGGAGAGCCUGGAAUGAGAAGGCAGGAAGCUUGAGUAUGCUCGGAGAAGCUGACUGCAGCAUCUCCACCAGGACAGUCCCACAUCCCACAUAAGGAACAUAGAUGUGCUGGAGAAUAUUGAUCACCUCUUUUUCCUCAGACCCAUUAAGUUUGCAGUCUGUGGGUCUACUCUUAACCACCCAGAAUACCUGCAUGCAAAGCUUUGACCAAAAAAAAAAAAAAAAAAAAAACCCAACCUAGAACUGUCUUCUGGGCUAUGCUUAUCAAAAAUUCAAUGAUAUUUUUGUAGACAUGUUCAAAGGACAGAAAAACCAAAACAUGAAUUCGUGAUCCAACUUGUCACUGUGAGGAAGAUCAUGGCCUACAUAUGGGAGCUCUGAUUUUAUCCUCCUGAUCUUGAUAUUUUAUUCUAAUUUUUACUUUUCCUAAUCCUGCUUUCAAAAAUUGCUCAGCACCUAUAAGAAUCAGGAAAGGUUUGAUGUAAACUAAGUUACGCAUCCAAGAUUCUAGUUCUGAAAAAGGGCCUCAGGGAAUCAUGGCUCUCUCUGUGAUCAAGAUUUGACAGAUUUAUCAAAAAGUUGUGAGUGAUAUAAGUUGGGAAAAGCCACAGCGUAGACAGAGGAAGGCAGAUUGACAGCAGGUCUGUCUUUGUUAUUUGGGGUCCAUUUGGUAGGACUUUGGAGGCUUAGGAGGGCUUGUAAUGAGGAGAGUUGAGAAGAUUGUAGUCAAGGUUUUUGUGGCAUAAUGUAUGAUUGUGAUCUUCAGGAACCACUGAGUAUUCUUACCUUGUGACAUAUGUUGUGUUUUUAAUUGAUCCUCAAGAUGGUUCAUGUGUACUUUCCUCUCUUUAUUUCUCUGAGUACUCUGGUUUUUCCUAGGUUUUUAACAAUGUCUUCCCAGAACAGGUACUCAAAAAAAAAAAAAAUGAUUGACGAUAACAUCUGUGAUAUUUCUGGGCUUGAUCAUCUUUUUCACAUUUCUUUCCCACAUGCAUGAAUGUCUUACCACCUUGCAUGUCCAUGCAUGCGAAUCUGUCUCUGGGACUAGUGUGUGUCAAUGUUCACAAUGCACUGACAAAACCACCACUUGCCCCAGGCUUCUGCUGCACUUCUCAGGCCAGGCUUCCAAAUCAUGGUGAGAAAUGCCAGCCACGCUCAUGUCCCAAGCUACGAAAAUCCCACUAUCGCUCAGUCAUCGCUCAGUCUCUUCUCUUAAUACUGAAUGUGUUGGCAGAUUCUUGUCUUAUUUUAUUUUUUACUUAUUUUACCAUUCACUUAUUUUAUUCUUUUGUCAACUAUGUUCAGAAAUGCUAAGUUUUACUACUUAAAGCAAAAGCUUCAGAACCCAUUUUUUAUACUAAUGUGUGCUGUGAAUGUUCAAGAUCAGUUAUCAGAAGAUAUAUGAUCAUCGUAUUCUUUGAAUUUGUAUGUGAGACUCAGGUGAUGAAAUUUAGUGCAAGAGGCUAUGAAGAACAGUUUACAAUAUUACACUUUUUAAAAAAAAAUCAGGCUCCUUUGUUUUAACCUCUUACUGUACUUCACAAAAAGUGAUAAAUUGAGGAAGCCACAGAAUGGAAACAUUUUGCUUUUUCAUUUAAAAAAACAAUUGAUUGAAGUGUUUUGCAGUAUUGUAAAAAUCCUUCUAAAUUUGUUACUUUGAAAAUAUCAUGAUCAUUAUCUUUGUCUUUCCUUGGCUUUAUUUCUAAUGUUUAGAUUAUUGAUUUACAUAGGCCAGAGAAUAGUUUAUUUCUGUUAUGUGUCUGUUUACUGUAUUUUUUGCUACACUUGCAAUAUUUGGAGUCCCCAAAUAAGGUACUUACAUCUGAAUUACAGACACAAAGAGGGAAAGCAUAAGUUGCAUUCCCAUGUAUUGUUUUUCUUUAAAAAAAAAAAAAGGAACCAGGAAAACUUUACACCCAAACUAUGUCUUUCAAAAAAUUAAGUUAUGACCUACUACAUGGAGUAUAAACCUGUCAGUAUAUCUGGUAGUUGUAGUAUUUAUGAGCAAUUCGAAAAAUACCUGUCUUCCUGAGACUUUCUGGAAAAAAAAUAGUCCUGUACAUUUGGCUUGUAAAUCCGAUCACACUCUAUAGGUUCAUAAAUAAAAGGCUAACACAUGUUUUGGAAUAUGCUCUAAAUUUAUUUAUUUUUUUUACUUUUCAUUAAGAAUAUGUGUUCAUAUUUAUCUUUAUAGAAGUUGCCACAAAAAUGGAGCCUUAAAAUAAAAAUUUUUCCCCUCUUCUGGAGUCUGUCCAUCCAUCCAUUCAACCUACCCACCCACCCAUGCACCCACCCAUUCAUCCAUCCAUCAAUCACAAAUUCCCUUAGCAUCUGCUGGGGGCCAGGAACUAUACUAAGUGCAGAGACACCAUGGCAAACAUUCAAAACUUCUGGCUGAGUCUUCUGUGGCAGUCCAUAGGAGCUGAUUAAGUCUAGAGCCAUGUUUCUUAAUAGCAGGUACUAUUAGAAUUUGAGGCCAGACAAUUCCUCUGUAUCACUGUAGUCUUGGUAUUUCAGGCCAGAAUAAAUCUUUGCAAUGGAGGACUGUCUGUAUAUUCUAGAAUUAUUAGCAGCAUUGCUGGCUUCUACCCAUUAGAUGCCUGUAGCACCAGUAGCAUCCAAAAUGUCUCCUGACAUUGUCUACUGGGAGGCAAAAUUGCCGCCACUGAGACCCACUAGUGUAGAGAUAAAGUUAUAGAUAUUUGUAGUGGGAAGCUGUGGAUUACUACUGUGACCUCACCUGGCUCCAUUGCACAUGCUCAGUUUCAUUGUCUAUAACGUAAAAAUUCAAUGAAAUAAUGUAGUGCUUGACCCCUAUUUAUGUAUUCCUAAAUAGUAGUUAUUUGUAGUAGGAGGAGUAUUAAUAUUUCACAGGUAAUUGCAAUAUUGAUAGUUCUAUGAUGUAGUAAGUUCAAUGUAUAGUGAGAGCACCUACAUGGGGUAGGGAUGGUUCUACUCAGGAAGAACACAAAACACAAACACAGGAAGUGGGUGUGAAUGUGUGGACCAUUCAGGGAAUUGCAAGGAGCCCAGUCUGUGUAUAAAGAAAGGACAGUAAGCUGUUGGAGUCUGGUAUUGUAGGUACCAGAUGAUGAGGACAUUCCUGGCCACAAUAAAGAAGAUGUACUUUGCAUCAUAAGCAUGAAGAGACUGAAGAAUGUAAAUUCGAUUUUUGUUCUAAAAGGGGGCUUUGGGAUAGAUCUUGAGCAAAAGGGCUUCUGGAAGUGAGGAGACUAGUUAAGGACUCAGGGUAAUCAACUGAGAGGUGGCAGAUUUCAGUAAUGAGACAGUUAGUUACAAGUUGCCACAAUGUCUUUGGGAACAGAUUUUACUUUCUCCAACAUGUGGCAAAAUUUUUUUUAGUUUAAUUCCAAUAAUGAAUAUAUUUAGCAAGCUAGUUCUACAUUUGGGGGAAUUUCAAGUGUAAUUUGAAAACAGAUUACAUGAUGGAAUCUCUAAAAUGUUCUCAAGUAAAGCUUAAAGACCCUCUAACAGCCUGUUCAGAGUUCUAUAUGACUUUAAAGGUUUCUCUGCCAUUGUACAUACAUUCCUGCAGUUCCCAUGUCUACCAAAAGCAAAGUUCUAUGAGACCUUAUUGAAAUAAUUGUUGUGAUGGGAAUCAUUAUAUUAUAUUAAGUGUUGAUUUUCUAGCUGAUGAGGAUUUUAUUUCUUUAAUGAUCAAGAUUAGAGAUGGAUGAAGAAUAUGAAUGAAUGCAUGAGAGGAUGGCUUUAUGGAAAAACCACCUAAUUAAGAAUAAAAAAUAUUUUAAACAA